CUUAAAGCCCAUUUGCCAUUUUCCCAAUUUCCCAAAGCUUGGUCAGCCUUACCAUUUUUUUCCCAAUUUCCCCGAAAGUCAAGACUCCAUCGUCCAUUCUUCUUCUUCAAUUCAAACCUGAAACUCCCAAUUCCCAAAUGCAAAAUUUAUCAUUUUUCUUUAAAAAAACCCUAAAUUAAACCCUCAAUUCUUCUUUCUCUUCUUCGUCAGUUCAUUCAAACAUCCCAAAUCAAAAUCCUUAUAAUGACAAAUCUAGGAAGAAAAAGUUACUAAAAAGACCAUCAAAGAAGUUUGUGGCAAAAACAUUACUUCUUCUUGGGGGUGUGACCUACCUAUAUCGUGCGCACUCCGCCUUGGGUACCAAAGUUAUAGUGGGCAGUGGCAUACAUCUUAACAAAACUGAGAAAACAUGGUGAUUCGUCGAGACAGAGCAACGAUAAUUGAGAUGAGUGAUCCAAAGUGAGAUGGUUCAACUCAAAGUUCACAAAAUUCUUCGCCAAGUAGAGAUGAUCAAACAACAACCAAGGGAAAUGUUCGAAGAAAGAUUAUUCCAAGGGCAGCUUGUUGGGGCCAUUUCACCAAAUAUGUAACUGAAAAGGGGGAGAAGAGAGCAAGGAAUAAUGCUUGUGAUGCUACUUACACCAUGGAAUCAACUUCUGUUUCUACAACGAAUUUGAACAAUCAUUUGAAAACAUGUGUAAAAAGACCUUAAGAGGAUAUCUUACAUGGUUUUAACGGCACAUUGGGUGGAUGAUGAGUGGAGGUUGCGAAAAAGGAUUAUAAAUUUUUGUCCAAUAUCUACUCAUAGAGGUGAAACCAUAGGUCAAGCUCUUGAAAAAUGUCUUCAAGAUUGGGGGAUUUAGAGGGUCUUCACUAUUACGGUUGAUAAUGCAUCCACUAAUAGUGUUGCCAUUGAAUAUUUGAGAAAGAAAUUGAAUCAUUGAAAUGCUUCUGUUGCAAA